rnacentral:rRNA from 1 species
CCUACGGGAGGCAGCAGUGAGGAAGAUUGGUCAAUGGGCGAGAUUCUGAACCAGCCAAGUCGCGUGAAGGAUGACGGACCUAUGGGUUGUAAACUUCUUUUAUAUGGGAAUAAAAUGUUCCACGUGUGGGAUUUUGUAUGUACCAUAUGAAUAAGGAUCGGCUAACUCAGUGCCAGCAGCCGCGGUAAUACGGAGGAUCCGAGCGUUAUCCGGAUUUAAUGGGUUUAAAGGGAGCGUAGGUGGAUUGUUAAGUCAGUUGUUAAAGUUUGCGGCUCAACCGUACAAUUGCAGUUGAAACUGGCAGUCUUGAGUACAGUAGAGGUGGGCGGAAUUCGUGGUGUAGCGGUGAAAUGCUUAGAUAUCACGAAGAACUCCGAUUGCGAAGGCAGCUCACUGGACUGCAACUGACACUGAGGCUCGAAAGUGUGGGUAUCAAACAGGAUUAGAUACCCCAGUAGUC